UCAAUUCAUACGAGUACUAUCAUAUUAUGUCAAUCAAUUUUGUUUUCCAAAAAACCCUAAAAUGUGAAUACUUUUGCUAUCUGAAUAUUAGAGAAAUCCUCCAGGACGUCCUGACGUCGCCACGCAGCCGGUACAGGAACGUGCGCAUGCGCGGAAUGCACCACAAUAAAGCGGAAACUACAAAAAGUGACAGAUUCCACCGGCUCCGUCAACAUUGUGGCCAAACAUUUUUUUAUUAUCAAUUUUAUUUUAUUUUUUUUUAACCAAUUUCCCUGCAAGACCGAGUUCGGAAUGGGCUUCACCGUGUUCAAGAAAUGCCUCCAAACACAAACUGGAAAAGCAUUUAAAGGAGAGAAAACGGACAUUUCCGCUGCUUAUCAAGUCAGGGGAAGACUGCUGACUGGACAGAUGUCCAGAAGACAGACAUGGACGUCCUUCACAAGGAGGAGAAGACACAAAGAAGCUGGUUGCUUCACAUUUCUACUGGAUAAAGGAUUAAUUUAGGCAUAAUUAGUGAUACGUAGGCCAUAUUUUGUUUGUCUGCAGUUUUAAUAACUACAUAGGGAAAAAAUGUUUCAAAGUAAUAAAACCAAGCUAUGGUCUUGGUGCUGCUCUGCUAAACUUAUCGAUCUGCCAUUUCUAUCUUUUGAUCGCUGGCUGGAGGAAAACCUCUUCAAACACACAUUCUCUUUCAUUAACCUGAGAACUGCAGCCUGUCUGAGGCAUUAACUGAAGAUGUUAAAGUGCUCAGAAGUCCCUCCUCACUUUCUAAGUUGGGACAUCAAUGCACCUGCGUCAUCACAGAAUGAAAUGCAAGCAGCUGCCUUGAACUGACGCGUCACACUCCUGAACAGCAGAGGGGAUUUUUCUUUGUGUUUGUUUUUAUGUAAUAUGACUCACUGCUGAAGCUCACAUUCAGCCUUUUACACCACAAUAGGCAUAAUUCCCUGUUUCAGGACCUGUAGGUAUUUCAUGCUUUCAGCUAAUCUUUAAAUUUAUUUCUUUUUUUCCCUCAUUAAUGCGCAUUAUAAUAUGUCUUAAUGCUUCUAAUAAUGUAGAGCUUAUAAUGUUUUGAUAUUUAAUCUGUUUUAUGCCCAAAGGGGAUGAAGUGAAGCACAUUUUGUUAAGCAUUAAACUUUAUACAGUCUCUUAUGUUGCCACUGCAAGGGGUGAAACAUUUUAGUUGUAUUAACCAGUGAAUAAAUCCAGAUAUCGUCUGCCACUUCAAGCAUCUAGCAUGCCGAUGUGAGCCGGUCUUCAUCAUAACAUUAUAUGCAGUAAUGAAUAUAUAUGUCUGGUAUUUCAUAAGCUAAGUUCACACAGCAGAUCUUGAUGGUUAUGCGUCUGACUCUUUUUUUCGUUGUUGCUGAAAUCCAUUGUGAUUGUUUCUGUUGCUAAUUAAAUGAGGCAGCAGUCG